CCCACUGAAAAACAAGAGCAUUAUGUUACCAUUCCCAGUGGUGAAACUUGUAAAGUUAGAUCCACUGGAAAAAUAACAAUUUCCAAGGAUAUAAUCCUAGAAGAUGUACUUUAUAUUCCAGAGUUUAGGGUGAAUCUAAUAUCAGUAAAUAAGCUGACCCUAAAUAGUAAAAUUAAAGUCAUUUUUGACAAUAAAAACUGCUAUUUUCAGGAAACCAAUUCAGG
rnacentral:lncRNA from 1 species